GAAUGUUUUCAUUAAUCAAGAACGAAAGUUAGAGGUUCGAAGGCGAUCAGAUACCGCCCUAGUUCUAACCGUAAACUAUGCCUACUAGAUGUAUGAAUUAUUAGUUAUAAUAAUUUAUGCAUCUUCUCGGAAACGAAAGUCUUUCGGUUCCGGGGGAAGUAUGGUUGCAAAGCUGAAACUUAAAGGAAUUGACGGAAGGGCACCACCAGGAGUGGAGCCUGCGGCUUAAUUUGACUCAACACGGGAAAACUCACCCGGGCCGGACACUAUAAGGAUUGACAGAUUGAUAGCUCUUUCAUGAUUUAGUGGUUGGUGGUGCAUGGCCGUUCUUAGUUCGUGGAUAUGAUUUGUCUGGUUGAUUCCGAUAACGAGCGAGACUUUUAUGUUAUAUUAAAUAUUAUUAUUUUGUUUAUUUUAAUAUAAAUAAUUAAUAUUUUAAUAACAGAUUAAUAGUGUUUAACUAUUUGAGAGAGAGCGAUAACAGGUCUGUGAUGCCCUUAGAUGUCCGGGGCUGCACGCGCGCUACAAUGUAGUGAUCAUUAUGUUCCUGUUUAGAGAUAAAUGGGUAAACAUUGAAAACAUUACGUAACUGGGAGUGAAAAUUGCAAUUAUUUUUCAUGAACGAGGAAUUCCAAGUAAACGUAAGUCAUUAGCUUACAUUGAUUACGUCCCUGCCCUUU
rnacentral:rRNA from 1 species